rnacentral:rRNA from 1 species
GAUGAACGCUGGCGGCGUGCCUAAUACAUGCAAGUCGAGCGAACAGACAAGGAGCUUGCUCCUUUGACGUUAGCGGCGGACGGGUGAGUAACACGUGGGUAACCUACCUAUAAGACUGGGAUAACUUCGGGAAACCGGAGCUAAUACCGGAUAAUAUUUCGAACCGCAUGGUUCGAUAGUGAAAGAUGGUUUUGCUAUCACUUAUAGAUGGACCCGCGCCGUAUUAGCUAGUUGGUAAGGUAACGGCUUACCAAGGCGACGAUACGUAGCCGACCUGAGAGGGUGAUCGGCCACACUGGAACUGAGACACGGUCCAGACUCCUACGGGAGGCAGCAGUAGGGAAUCUUCCGCAAUGGGCGAAAGCCUGACGGAGCAACGCCGCGUGAGUGAUGAAGGUCUUCGGAUCGUAAAACUCUGUUAUUAGGGAAGAACAUACGUGUAAGUAACUAUGCACGUCUUGACGGUACCUAAUCAGAAAGCCACGGCUAACUACGUGCCAGCAGCCGCGGUAAUACGUAGGUGGCAAGCGUUAUCCGGAAUUAUUGGGCGUAAAGCGCGCGUAGGCAGUUUUUUAAGUCUGAUGUGAAAGCCCACGGCUCAACCGUGGAGGGUCAUUGGAAACUGGAAAACUUGAGUGCAGAAGAGGAAAGUGGAAUUCCAUGUGUAGCGGUGAAAUGCGCAGAGAUAUGGAGGAACACCAGUGGCGAAGGCGACUUUCUGGUCUGUAACUGACGCUGACGUGCGAAAGCGUGGGGAUCAAACAGGAUUAGAUACCCUGGUAGUCCACGCCGUAAACGAUGAGUGCUAAGUGUUAGGGGGUUUCCGCCCCUUAGUGCUGCAGCUAACGCAUUAAGCACUCCGCCUGGGGAGUACGACCGCAAGGUUGAAACUCAAAGGAAUUGACGGGGACCCGCACAAGCGGUGGAGCAUGUGGUUUAAUUCGAAGCAACGCGAAGAACCUUACCAAAUCUUGACAUCCUUUGACAACUCUAGAGAUAGAGCCUUCCCCUUCGGGGGACAAAGUGACAGGUGGUGCAUGGUUGUCGUCAGCUCGUGUCGUGAGAUGUUGGGUUAAGUCCCGCAACGAGCGCAACCCUUAAGCUUAGUUGCCAUCAUUAAGUUGGGCACUCUAAGUUGACUGCCGGUGACAAACCGGAGGAAGGUGGGGAUGACGUCAAAUCAUCAUGCCCCUUAUGAUUUGGGCUACACACGUGCUACAAUGGACAAUACAAAGGGCAGCGAAACCGCGAGGUCAAGCAAAUCCCAUAAAGUUGUUCUCAGUUCGGAUUGUAGUCUGCAACUCGACUACAUGAAGCUGGAAUCGCUAGUAAUCGUAGAUCAGCAUGCUACGGUGAAUACGUUCCCGGGUCU